rnacentral:tRNA from 1 species
GCGGAUGUGGCGGAAUGGCAGACGCAUCAGACUCAAAAUCUGACGGCAGUAAUGUCGUGCGGGUUCAAGUCCCGCCAUCCGCA